GAUGAACGCUGGCGGCGUGCCUAAUACAUGCAAGUCGAGCGAACUUUUGGGAGCUUGCUCCCAAAAGUUAGCGGCGGACGGGUGAGUAACACGUGGGUAACCUGCCUGUAAGACUGGGAUAACUUCGGGAAACCGGAGCUAAUAUCGGAUAACAUUGAAGCUCACAUGGCCUUCAAUUAAAAGGUGGCUUUUAGCUACUACUUACAGAUGGACUCGCGGCGCAUUAGCUAGUUGGUGAGGUAACGGCUAACCAAGGCGACGAUGCGUAGCCGACCUGAAAGGGUGGUCGGCCACACUGGGACUGGGACACGGCCCAGGCUCCUACGGGAGGCAGCAGUAGGGAAUCUUCCGCAAUGGACGAAAGUCUGACGGAACAACGCCGCGUGAGCGAAGAAGGCCUUCGGGUCGUAAAGCUCUGUUGUUAGGGAAGAACAAGUAGCAUGCGAAUAGGGCGGUACCUUGACGGUACCUAACCAGAAAGCCACGGCUAACUUCGUG
rnacentral:rRNA from 1 species